rnacentral:rRNA from 1 species
UAACGGCGUCGAGCGGCGGACGGGUGAGUAAUGCCUAGGAAAUUGCCCUGAUGUGGGGGAUAACCAUUGGAAACGAUGGCUAAUACCGCAUAAUACCUACGGGUCAAAGAGGGGGACCUUCGGGCCUCUCGCGUCAGGAUAUGCCUAGGUGGGAUUAGCUAGUUGGUGAGGUAAUGGCUCACCAAGGCGACGAUCCCUAGCUGGUCUGAGAGGAUGAUCAGCCACACUGGAACUGAGACACGGUCCAGACUCCUACGGGAGGCAGCAGUGGGGAAUAUUGCACAAUGGGCGCAAGCCUGAUGCAGCCAUGCCGCGUGUGUGAAGAAGGCCUUCGGGUUGUAAAGCACUUUCAGUCGUGAGGAAGGUANUGUAGUUAAUAGCUGCAUUAUUUGACGUUAGCGACAGAAGAAGCACCGGCUAACUCCGUGCCAGCAGCCGCGGUAAUACGGAGGGUGCGAGCGUUAAUCGGAAUUACUGGGCGUAAAGCGCAUGCAGGUGGUUUGUUAAGUCAGAUGUGAAAGCCCGGGGCUCAACCUCGGAAUAGCAUUUGAAACUGGCAGACUAGAGUACUGUAGAGGGGGGUAGAAUUUCAGGUGUAGCGGUGAAAUGCGUAGAGAUCUGAAGGAAUACCGGUGGCGAAGGCGGCCCCCUGGACAGAUACUGACACUCAGAUGCGAAAGCGUGGGGAGCAAACAGGAUUAAGAUACCCCUGGUAGUCCACGCCGUAAAACGAUGUCUACUUGGAGGUUGUGGCCUUGAGCCGUGGCUUUCGGAGCUAACGCGUUAAGUAGACCGCCUGGGGAGUACGGUCGCAAGAUUAAAACUCAAAUGAAUUGACGGGGGCCCGCACAAGCGGUGGAGCAUGUGGUUUAAUUCGAUGCAACGCGAAGAACCUUACCUACUCUUGACAUCCAGAGAACUUUCCAGAGAUGGAUUGGUGCCUUCGGGAACUCUGAGACAGG